rnacentral:rRNA from 1 species
GUCUACAGCCAUACCACCCUAAACACGCCCAAUAUCAUCUGAUUCGGAAGCUAAGCAGGGUCGGGCCUGGUUAGUACUUGGAUGGGAGUAAAACUUUCAAAUUAAAGUUUCACAGCAUGGCCUGAUAUUUCUACACC